rnacentral:rRNA from 1 species
UAAGGAAUAUUGGGCAAUGGUCGCAAGACUGAUCCAGCCAUGCCGCGUGCAGGAAGACGGCCCUAUGGGUUGUAAACUGCUUUUGUACCAGAGAAAACCUAUCUACGUGUAGAUAGCUGAUAGUAUGGUAAGAAUAAGCAUCGGCUAACUUCGUGCCAGCAGCCGCGGUAAGACGAAGGAUGCAAGCGUUAUCCGGAUUCAUUGGGUUUAAAGGGUGCGUAGGCGGGCUUGUAAGUCAGUGGUGAAAUCUCUCAGCUUAACUGAGAAACUGCCAUUGAUACUGCAGGCCUAGAGUAUAGAUGACGUUGGCGGAAUAUGACAUGUAGUGGUGAAAUACUUAGAUAUGUCAUAGAACACCGAUUGCGAAGGCAGCUAACGAAACUAUAACUGACGCUGAGGCGCGAAAGUGCGGGGAUCAAACA